UUAUAGUUUAAAGGUCAGAGUUGCUAUUAUUCUACAUGCCUAUGUAGUAGUACAGUAAAGGCAAAUCUGUGUACCCUGUUUCCCUCCCCUACCUGAAUGCCCUCCGAGAGUUCGAUCCACUUUUAGAUCUGAUGGCACCUGUUCUAAUUAAUUCAAAUGUACAUACUACUGCAAAAAUGCUUGUGUUGUUGCCUCUGUGGAUGAUCAGGAUUUUCCUGAAUUCUAUAGGAUAUCUGCAUUUAUCAUCACUCCUCCCCCAACUACACAAGUGGCCUUUGUUUGUGAACAACUGGUCACAGAGCAUUAUUUGGCUCAUUAUCAUGCGUACGCGGUACGUACGACGGAUAUAGUCAAGAUUGUUCGCCAACAGGACCUCUAUGAUUUCCAUCCUUUCCAUCCUUUACAGUGUGUCACCUUGCCAGAAACUCGCACAAGUAAUCAUGCCAAGAGGUUGUACACACGAACUGAUCAAAUCACUGACUAUGAUGAUGACUGAUUUCAAGCACGUGUCAUUUGUCUUUACUGCUGUUUGAUACACUUUUUUUGACCACCAGGCUAUUAUAGGCUCACACUUAUAAUAGUUUAUAUUGUGCAUGCAGAAAGCCCUUCUUUAUCAUCCCUGGCCUAGUUGUGAUACUGUAUUCACUUUGCUGGUGGGUACACUCUUAUCUAUAUAGCUACAGGGUUGUACAUGCAUAUACGUAUUUACAUGUAGCUAGCUAUCUUAUCACUGUUUUUGGCCACUGUGCUCACACACUUUCAUUUUUGGAUUUAUAAGUUCAUAUUUUGCAGAAAGUCCUUCCUCAUCAUCCCUUAGAGUGUGCUUCCUUUAGUUUUACUGUUUGGUUCACUUUGCUGGUCGUUGCUAGGGUGUACAUGUACAUACCCCUUAAGGUUGCAUAUGUAUAGGUACUUGAUUAUCACUGUUUUUGGCCACCAUGGAGGCUCACACACUUAUAAAUUAGUUUAUAAUUAUUGUGCAGAAAGCCCUUCUUUAUCAUCCCCUGGCCUAGCUGUAGUUAGUAAUACUGUAUUACUUUGAUUCACUUUGCUGGCUUAAUAUUUUGCAGAAAGUCCUUCCUCAUCAUCCCCUAGAGUGUGCUUCCUUUAGUUUUACUGUUCGGUUCACUUUGCUGGUCGUUGCUAGGGUACAUAUACACAUUAAUUUAUUAAUUCAUAUUACCACAUUUUUUGCCACAGCACAUACACAUAAUUAUUGGAUUUGUAUGCACAUGUAGGCCCUCCUAACCAUCCACCAACUGCUCAAACUUUUUUUUGCUGUCAGAUUCAUUAUAAUAGUCGUUGUUAAGGCUUUUACAUACACAAAUAUUUGAGUACUAGCUAUAGCAUAUUUUGGUCACAAAUAAUAUUUUGUGAGUUAAGAUUCUGCAGGUAUCCCUUCCUAACCACCCUCCAAGUGAGCUGUCUGAUUCUUUAUACCGGACCCUGUCAUGUAUACCAAUGUGUGUACUUGGGUACGUUUCCUAUCAAUUUAAUGUGUAGCUAUAUAUAUAUACAUUAUUUAUAUUACCACAUUUUUUGCCACAGCACAUACACAUAUUGGAUUUGUAUGCUAUUAUUCUACAUGUAGGCCCUCCUAACCAUCCACCAACUGCUCACAUUUUUGUUUUGCUGUCUGAUAAUAGUCGUUGUCAAGGCAUUUACAUACACAAAUUUGAGUACUAGUGUUUAACCAUUGACGAAAAGUCUGUCAAAGAAAGAGAUUCCAUGAAGUGUUCUGGCAUUAGCGAAGAUGAGGUGCAAAAAUAAUUAUAUCAAUAGUUCUCGACUCAACCAGAAAAUCAAAGGAAGAUUUGAGAAUAAACCAUCCAAUGCAUUAAAGCAAUCCUUAUAUAAUUAUAGCAUCAAGUUCAUAAUAAGCAUUAUGCAUGGACUAUCCCAUAGACAUACAAAGCAAGAUAAUAAUACAACGUACAUAUAUACCAGACAGGAUUUAAUUAAUAUGGCCGGGGCUGUUAAAAUAAUGUUGUGUCGUUGAAACUUAAUUAUCCAACUGCAUGAUAGCCUCCCUCACACAUAUAGCUAUAGGGCAAUAUUCUAGAUUUAUAUAGUUUAACAGAUACACCAAGAGAGGCCGGUAUAGUGGAUCAACCAUAUAUAACUAUACUCCGACCACUUCUAAGUUUUAUUCCCUCUCACAGCCAACUAUAUAGUUAUAUCCGCCUAUUUGAUCCACAAGUUUUACAAUUCAAGCUAUAAUUAUAACUUCAGCAGUACUUCCACCCAAUCAUCUCCCUAAGCCUCCCAAUAAUUAUGUUAAAACUGCCUAUUUAUAUAGAACUAAAAACAGACAACAUCAGCUAUUGUAUAUACAGACAUGCAACGGCCACAACAGCGUCCUUAACUGGUUCACCAAGGAAUAAGACAUAACGUUAAAAACUUGCAUGGAUUAAGGAAAUAUACACUACUAUAUCAAGCUAUGCAAACUAGAGGAACUUCAAUUACAAAACCAAUCCCUGAUCCUGAAAUUGAUUAUGACACAAACCUAUAGCACAAACUCUAGCAGCCAAACCCAAAAAGCUGUUCUCUAAAUCCACUAUACCUAUGCAUGCCCUUGUAACAGAUGUAUCGUGAACUGCAUGCAUAUAUAAGAACUUACCAGAGCUAUAGCUAGCGUUAACAAUCUGCGUAUAAUGUUAUGUGUUUGUCCAUUACAAUUGUGUUUUAUACUCAGCAUUCUAUAACUUCUAGCAUUCCUAGGCAGUUUCAAGAAACUCUGGACACUCAAGUGGCAAGUAGGCAAGAGCUAAACUUACUCAUUUUUGUCAAUGUUUACUUUGUUGUAUCUUAGUCAAACCUGGGUCAUUAGUGUUCUUAUUUGGUCUACUUGUAGUUACCAGUGUUGUCUAUAGUCUAGGCCUAUCUGUAUCUGUCCAGCACCUCCAGUACUGAUUUGCCCAGAAAUCAAAGUCACAGAAAAAAUUAAUAUCACCAGUUUUCUUUCAUUCAAUGUAACUAUUUACUUACCACUUUAUUUUUUUUAUCAUUCAGUAGCUUAUUUAUUCAGCAUUAUUUCUAUAUCAUUUAAUA